UCUGUUUUCUUCAGAUGAAAACUAUUCACACUAAAUGAGGUUAGAUCUUGUAAAAACACCUUGCCCAUUGCAUAGUAUAAGCAGUCUAGAAUUUAUCUUUUUUAUUUUAUAAUUUUUUGAAAAAAUUUGAGUUUUACCGGGGAUUGUUGGAGAGAAUCCAAAAAGAAAACUUAAAAUUUUCUUAAUAUUUUCCUCUAAGCAUUUUAAUCUUAUCUUUUAAUUUUAUCAUUUAAAUAUUUUAAUAUCUUAAUUACUAUAAUUUUAAUUUUUGAUCGUUGGACUUCUAAUUACAGACCUUAAUGGA
rnacentral:lncRNA from 1 species